ACGUGCUCUCCGACGGCCAUUCUUCGAGCGACCUCGGUACAGCGCGGGAGCGUCUCGUUCCUCGCUCGAGCAUUGGAGUCGAAGGACCGCCAAGCUAUAACUCUCUUCCUCAUUGCCUGGAGCGUCGACUCUGAAGGCCUCGACAUCAACUAAACGUGGAAGGAGAAGCUGUGUCAGCUGCUGAAGGGAUGGCCUGGAUGUGGAUCCUCCUGCAGGUGGUGGCGGCCGUGUCCGCUCGGAGCCUGGGCGGGGAACACGGCGUGCCGGUUGUCACCGUAAAUCCCAAUUGCCUCAAUGUUUACUGCCUGCACGUUAUAGUACCCGGAUGUCACCCGCCUACUCUGCCCGGGGGUUGCUGUCCAGAUUGGUCACAGUGCAAAGGCAGCGAUGGUACAGAAGUUGCAUGACUUUUGCAACCUACUGAAGACAUUCCAGUCCUCCAGAAAAUUCCUUUUACUUCAGGACUUUCAGCAUGACCUUUAACCUUUCAAGCAGAAAAAAAAUUAUAAUACGUGUGCAUGUUAUUUAUAUAUUAAUUCUGUUUAUUUAUUUCUCCUAACCAGAGGCAGUGGUGGUACAGAAGUUGCAUGACCUUUGCAACCCACAGAAGGAACUUUAGCAUGACCUUUAACCUUUAAGGGAGAAAAAAUGUAAUCAUUCCCACAGUGCUGUUCUCGAAAGAUGCAAGCAUAGAAAAAAAAAAACAUGUUUAGUGUUUAGUGCUAUGAAAUAAGACUUUCCCGAAUAAUUUGAUUAAAGGAUAGAAACAUAAA